rnacentral:rRNA from 1 species
CGGAUUUAUUGGGCGUAAAGCGCGUGCAGGCUGCUUGUAAGUUGGAUGUGAAAGCUCCUGGCUUAACUGGGANGAGGUCGUUCAAAACUACAAGACUUGAGAUUGGUAGAGGAAGGUGGAAUUCCGGGUGUAGUGGUGAAAUGCGUAGAUAUCCGGAGGAACACCAGUGGCGAAAGCGGUCUUCUGGACCAAUUCUGACACUCAGAUGCGAAAGCUAAGGUAGCAAACGGGAUUAGAGACCCCGGUAGUCUUAGCUGUAAACUAUGUGAACUUGGCGUCGGUGGGUUCAAAUCCAUCGGUGCCGAAGCAAACGCGAUAAGUUCACCGCCUGGGGACUACGGCCGCAAGGUUAAAACUCAAAGGAAUUGACGGGGCCCCGCACAAGCAGCGGAGCGUGUGGUUUAAUUCGAUGCUACACGAAGAACCUUACCAGGGUUUGACAUGCAAGUGGUAGGAAACCGAAAGGUGACCGACUCUUCGGAGAGCUUGCACAGGUGCUGCAUGGCUGUCGUCAGCUCGUGUCGUGAGAUGUUCGGUUAAGUCCGCUAACGAGCGCAACCCUCGCUGUGUGUUACAAGUGUCACACGGUACUGCCGGUCUUAAGCCGGAGGAAGGUGGGGAUGACGUCAAGUCAGCAUGGCCUUUAUAUCCUGGGCUACACACACGCUACAAUGGCCAACACAAUAGGUUGCUAAGCCGCGAGGUGGAGCCAAUCCAAAAAAGUUGGUCUCAGUUCAGAUUGUAGGCUGCAACUCGCCUGCAUGAAGAUGGAGUUGCUAGUAAACGCAGGUCAGCUAUACUGCGUUGAAUACGUUCCCGGGGCUUGUACACACCGCCCGUCACGUCAUGGAAGUUGGCAACACCUGAAGCCGGUAUCCUAACCGUAAGGAGGGAGCCGUCGA